UACGAAGGGGGCUAGCGUUGCUCGGAAUCACUGGGCGUAAAGGGUGCGUAGGCGGGUCUUUAAGUCAGGGGUGAAAUCCUGGAGCUCAACUCCAGAACUGCCUUUGAUACUGAAGAUCUUGAGUUCGGGAGAGGUGUGUGGAACUGCGAGUGUAGAGGUGAAAUUCGUAGAUAUUCGCAAGAACACCAGUGGCGAAGGCGGCUCACUGGCCCGAUACUGACGCUGAGGCACGAAAGCGUGGGGAGCAAACAGG
rnacentral:rRNA from 1 species